rnacentral:rRNA from 1 species
AUGACACCACACGUGAAGAAGACAAACCCCAGACCACAGGCUUCAUACGGUCCAAAGGCUUCAUACAGACAGAGGACUCACCUGAGUCGCACUAACACAAAUGUUUUGGAGGGAAACCAUGCUCGGGCCUAUGAAUAUGAGCGCGGUUCAUCAAACCGCCAUGUUCGGAAGACCAAGAACUAUUCUGCUUAUUCCUAUGAGUACUAUUGUCCACCUACAAGACUGUUUUCUAGGGCUCCAAAGCCAAAGUUCUCAGAUGCUGCACUUAGACUUAUUGCUUCUAAGCCACCCUUGAAGAUGUGGGUGGCUAAGAAAGCUUAA